CCCUUCAGAGGGGGACAACAGUUGGAAACGACUGCUAAUACCGCAUACGAUCUAAUCUCGGCAUCGAGGAUGGAUGAAAGGUGGCCUCUAUUUAUAAGCUAUCACUGAAGGAGGGGAUUGCGUCUGAUUAGCUAGUUGGAGGGGUAACGGCCCACCAAGGCGAUGAUCAGUAGCCGGUUCUGAGAGGAUGAACGGCCACAUUGGGACUGAGACACGGCCCAGACUCCUACGGGAGGCAGCAGUGGGGAAUCUUCCGCAAAUGGACGAAAGUUCUGACGGAGCAACGCCGCGUGAGUGAUGACGGCCCUUCGGGUUGUAAAGCUCUGUUAAUCGGGACGAAAGGCCUUCUUGCGAAUAGUUAGAAGGAUUGACGGUACCGGAAUAGAAAGCCACGGCUAACUACGUGCCAGCAGCCGCGGUAAUACGUAGGUGGCAAGCGUUGUCCGGAAAUUAUUGGGCGUAAAGCGCGCGCAGGCGGAUUGGUCAGUCUGUCUUAAAAGUUCGGGGCUUAACCCCGUGAUGGGAUGGAAACUGCCAAUCUAGAGUAUCGGAGAGGAAAAGUGGAAAUUCCUAGUGUAGCGGUGAAAUGCGUAGAUAUUAGGAGGAACCACCAGUGGCGAAGGCGACUUUCUGGACGAAAACUGACGCUGAGGCGCGAAAGCCAGGGGAGCGAACGGGAUUAGAUACCCCGGUAGUCCUGGCCG
rnacentral:rRNA from 1 species